rnacentral:rRNA from 1 species
UAAUACGGAGGGUGCAAGCGUUGUUCGGAAUCAUUGGUCGUAAAGAGCGUGUAGGCGGGAUGGUAUGUCGAAUGUGAAAGCCCUAGGCUCAACCUAGGAAUUGCAUCCGAAACUGCCAUUCUUGAGUACGGGAGAGGGAAGCGGAAUUUCCAGUGUAGAGGUGAAAUUCGUAGACAUUGGAAGGAACACCAGUGGCGAAGGCGGCUUCCUGGACCGAUACUGACGCUGAGACGCGAAAGCGUGGGGAGCAAACAGGAUUAGAUACCCUGGUAGUCCACGCCGUAAACGAUGAGCACUAGGUGUUGCGGGUUGUUGACCCCUGCAGUGCCGCAGUUAACGCGUUAAGUGCUCCGGCUGGGGAUUACGGUCGCAAGACUA